GGGCUCGUGGUCUAGCUGGUCAUGACGUCGCCUUCACACGGCGGAGGUCCGGAGUUCGAAUCUCCGCGGGCCCA
rnacentral:tRNA from 2 species